AUCGCUUCUUCACCUUUUGGCUAAGAUCAAGUGUAGUAUCUGUUCUUAUCAGUUUUUCAUACCAGUGGACUGUAACGCCGGUGUGGGGAUGGGUGCUGCAUGGAGGGUGCAGGUGUACUGGGGCUGGUUCUGAGGAAUCAGCUUGAUGGCUGCCCUGAUGUGACCUGAUCCCUCCGGGUCUAGAGCCGAGGUACUUUU